rnacentral:rRNA from 1 species
AUACCGCAUACGCCCUACGGGGGAAAGAUUUAUCGGGGAAGGAUUGGCCCGCGUUGGAUUAGCUAGUUGGUGGGGUAAAGGCCUACCAAGGCGACGAUCCAUAGCUGGUCUGAGAGGAUGAUCAGCCACAUUGGGACUGAGACACGGCCCAAACUCCUACGGGAGGCAGCAGUGGGGAAUAUUGGACAAUGGGCGCAAGCCUGAUCCAGCCAUGCCGCGUGAGUGAUGAAGGCCUUAGGGUUGUAAAGCUCUUUCACCGAUGAAGAUAAUGACGGUAGUCGGAGAAGAAGCCCCGGCUAACUUCGUGCCAGCAGCCGCGGUAAUACGAAGGGGGCUAGCGUUGUUCGGAAUUACUGGGCGUAAAGCGCACGUAGGCGGAUAUUUAAGUCAGGGGUGAAAUCCCGCAGCUCAACUGCGGAACUGCCUUUGAUACUGGGUAUCUUGAGUAUGGAAGAGGUAAGUGGAAUUCCGAGUGUAGAGGUGAAAUUCGUAGAUAUUCGGAGGAACACCAGUGGCGAAGGCGGCUUACUGGU